rnacentral:rRNA from 1 species
GAUGAACGCUGGCGGCGUACCUAAUACAUGCAAGUCGAGCGAACAGACGAGGAGCUUGCUCCUCUGACGUUAGCGGCGGACGGGUGAGUAACACGUGGAUAACCUACCUAUAAGACUGGGAUAACUUCGGGAAACCGGAGCUAAUACCGGAUAAUAUAUUGAACCGCAUGGUUCAAUAGUGAAAGACGGUUUUGCUGUCACUUAUAGAUGGAUCCGCGCCGCAUUAGCUAGUUGGUAAGGUAACGGCUUACCAAGGCGACGAUGCGUAGCCGACCUGAGAGGGUGAUCGGCCACACUGGAACUGAGACACGGUCCAGACUCCUACGGGAGGCAGCAGUAGGGAAUCUUCCGCAAUGGGCGAAAGCCUGACGGAGCAACGCCGCGUGAGUGACGAAGGUCUUCGGAUCGUAAAACUCUGUUAUUAGGGAAGAACAAAUGUGUAAGUAACUAUGCACGUCUUGACGGUACCUAAUCAGAAAGCCACGGCUAACUACGUG